GAUCAUGGCUCAGAUUGAACGCUGGCGGCAGGCUUAACACAUGCAAGUCGAACGGUAACAUAAAGAAGCUUGCUUCUUUGAUGACGAGUGGCGGACGGGUGAGUAAUGCUUGGGAAUCUAGCUUAUGGAGGGGGAUAACGUACGGGAAACUGUAGCUAAUACCGCGUAGUAUCGAGAGAUGAAAGUGUGGGACCUUCGGGCCACAUGCCAUAGGAUGAGCCCAAGUGGGAUUAGGUUAG
rnacentral:rRNA from 1 species